UACGUAGGGUGCGAGCGUUGUCCGGAAUCACUGGGCGUAAAGCGCACGUAGGCGGCUUUUUAAGUCAGGGGUGAAAUCCUGGAGCUCAACUCCAGAACUGCCUUUGAUACUGAGAGGCUCGAGUCCGGGAGAGGUGAGUGGAACUGCGAGUGUAGAGGUGAAAUUCGUAGAUAUUCGCAAGAACACCAGUGGCGAAGGCGGCUCACUGGCCCGGUACUGACGCUGAGGUGCGAAAGCGUGGGGAGCAAACAGG
rnacentral:rRNA from 1 species